GAAUAUAAUUGGUCCGACGAUGCUUUAUAGAAAACUAUAAGAGUCGGAAUAUCUCGAGUAAAAGUUAAACUGAAGGCGUAUGUGAUACGUAUAGAACAACUCUUUAUUUUAUUUUGCAUUUUGCAACAAUUUUUGUUAUUCGAAUUACGAAAUAAUCGUCAAAAAGGACAAAUUGUGAUACAAUCUUUCAUCCUUAUUACAUUCACAAGAGGAAUAAAACGCCGGUAUCAACGUUCGGUCAUCUAUUGCCGAGAGGCCCUGUAUCCGCAAACAUAUGCACGAAACGUGCAAUUAAACUUCGAUCUUGAUACUUUGCCUUUGAUUGCUUUCCUUCUUCAAUCGAGGUAAAAAUUUCUCGAGGACUCUUCGUGACUGAUUGCAUAAUAAAGGCGCAGGAGACAGAGAGUGGAAGAAGUUGGCGGAAACCAUACAUUACAUAAUGAAUUCUUGUACGGAUAAUCGUGUGCAAUAAAAAAUCAUUCCACCGUGGCAUUGUUCAAGAAUUAAUUAAAAUGGCGCGAGAACAAACGGCCGGCCAGAAUUAUAAAAGGAGGAGGGGGGGGAGGAGAGAAGGAGUUUGCACCGGGACCGGAUAAAAUGCUGCAGCGGCUCCAGCCUCUCGCGCAUCUUUUACGUAUGCACGAGCAUAAGCAUAACGCAGAGGAACAUGGGUAGAUGAUAUCGUGGAUGCACCUACGGGGCCACGGGGCGUCGACGCGACUCCUUUGUCCUCGUUCCUGCCCGCUCGUUCUUCUUCCCUGCGAAGAACGCCUUCGCCCCCGGACGACCUCUCGCCGCACGCACGCACGCACACACACACACACAUAUAUUUUGUUCGCGGAAAUACCAAUCUCGUGCAUCAAUCCUGCUGGGUUUGAAGAAUUGUAUCAAAGGAACACGCUGCGUGCCAGCUACUGUAGCAUAAAGAUUACCAUCUGAUCUCCUCGAGAUCUCUGAUACUGUUAUUUGCCGUAGUAAUAUUCCUUUUUUUUUCUUUUUCAGGUUUCCAGAGACACGAAUCCUCCCCCCCCCCUCGUCGUAUCCACGCGGUUGUAAUUAUUUUAAUCGAGCUGAUCUCUCCGAUCGUGAUGACCCUUGUAAAUGGCGUUACAAAGUGCGCUUAAUACACAUUCAUGGCUACGUUUAAACGGUGUUGUCAGCCGUUUCGAUCCAGCGAUCUUGGACCAUUAAAAGUAUUGCAAGAAUUACAUUUGGAAAUUUGAUUCGUUGCGGAUUCUUUAAGGGGACUUGAGCUUGAUCAUUACUCGUCGUUUCCAUUAGAAUAUCGUAUCGAUAAAAGGGAUUUAAUUAUAAAGAUUCUGCCGUAACGCUUCCUGCCAGUGAGGAGAGAUGCGUGAUACACGUACUCUCUCGUUCCCUCUCUGUACCCUUUCUUUUGUAUUUUUACACACGGUCGGUGAUUAGUAAGGCUAUUUUUUUUCAUUACAAAACAUUGUUACCGAGAAUCGUUCUCAUUAUAGAAGUACAUCGUUAUCUGAAUAAUUUUGCUCAAGACUAUACUGUAUUAUGCAAAUCAGACUUUCUUCGCGAGUCCCACAUAUGAUUAUCAACACCAUUAAGGUAUAAUUGUUCUAAAUUAAGUAACUUUCUGCUUAAUUGUACAGUACAAUAGAGUAGAGUAGAAUAUAAAAGAUUCUUUUGUGUCAAAUUUACAGAAUGAAAUCUACAAUUUUAACUGCUGUAUAUCUUGCGUACUUGUAAAAUAAGUAUUGAUUCAUUUUUA